rnacentral:rRNA from 1 species
UAGGGAAUCUUCCACAAUGGACGAAAGUCUGAUGGAGCAAUGCCGCGUGAGUGAAGAAGGGUUUCGGCUCGUAAAACUCUGUUGUUAAAGAAGAACACCUUUGAGAGUAACUGUUCAAGGGUUGACGGUAUUUAACCAGAAAGCCACGGCUAACUACGUGCCAGCAGCCGCGGUAAUA